rnacentral:rRNA from 1 species
UACGGAGGGUGCAAGCGCUAUCCGGAUUCACUGGGUUUAAAGGGUGCGUAGGUGGGUCUGUAAGUCAGUGGUGAAAUCUCCAAGCUUAACUUGGAAACUGCCGUUGAUACUAUAGACCUUGAAUGCUGUGGAGGUGAGCGGAAUAUGUCAUGUAGCGGUGAAAUGCUUAGAUAUGACAUAGAACACCAAUUGCGAAGGCAGCUCACUACCCAGAUAUUGACACUGAGGCACGAAAGCGUGGGGAUCAAACAGG